rnacentral:rRNA from 1 species
UUAAGUGACUAAGCGUACACGGUGGAUGCCUAGGCAGUCAGAGGCGAUGAAGGGCGUGCUAAUCUGCGAAAAGCGUCGGUAAGGUGAUAUGAACCGUUACAACCGGCGAUACCCGAAUGGGGAAACCCAGUGUGUUUCGACACACUAUCAUGUCAUGAAUACAUAGUGGCAUGAGGCGAACCGGGGGAACUGAAACAUCUAAGUACCCCGAGGAAAAGAAAUCAACCGAGAUUCCCCCAGUAGCGGCGAGCGAACGGGGAGGAGCCCAGAACCUGAAUCGGCUUGUGUGUUAGUGGAAGCGUCUGGAAAGUCGCGCAGCAAAGGGUGAUAGCCCCGUACACUAAAAUGCACAGGUCGUGAGUUCGAUGAGUAGGGCGGGACACGUGACAUCCUGUCUGAAUAUGGGGGGACCAUCCUCCAAGGCUAAAUACUCCUGACUGACCGAUAGUGAACCAGUACCGUGAGGGAAAGGCGAAAAGAACCCCGGCGAGGGGAGUGAAAUAGAACCUGAAACCGUGUACGUACAAGCAGUGGGAGCACCUUCGUGGUGUGACUGCGUACCUUUUGUAUAAUGGGUCAGCGACUUAUAUUUUGUAGCAAGGUUAACCGUAUAGGGGAGCCGUAGGGAAACCGAGUCUUAACUGGGCGAAUAGUUGCAAGGUAUAGACCCGAAACCCGGUGAUCUAGCCAUGGGCAGGUUGAAGGUUGGGUAACACUAACUGGAGGACCGAACCGACUAAUGUUGAAAAAUUAGCGGAUGACUUGUGGCUGGGGGUGAAAGGCCAAUCAAACCGGGAGAUAGCUGGUUCUCCCCGAAAGCUAUUUAGGUAGCGCCUCGUGAACUCAUCUUCGGGGGUAGAGCACUGUUUCGGCUAGGGGGCCAUCCCGGCUUACCAAACCGAUGCAAACUCCGAAUACCGAAGAAUGUUAUCACGGGAGACACACGGCGGGUGCUAACGUCCGUCGUGAAGAGGGAAACAACCCAGACCGCCAGCUAAGGUCCCAAAGUCAUGGUUAAGUGGGAAACGAUGUGGGAAGGCAUAGACAGCCAGGAUGUUGGCUUAGAAGCAGCCAUCAUUUAAAGAAAGCGUAAUAGCUCACUGGUCGAGUCGGCCUGCGCGGAAGAUGUAACGGGGCUAAACCAUGCACCGAAGCUGCGGCAGCGACGCUUAGGCGUUGUUGGGUAGGGGAGCGUUCUGUAAGCCGUUGAAGGUGGCCUGUGAGGGUUGCUGGAGGUAUCAGAAGUGCGAAUGCUGACAUAAGUAACGAUAAAGCGGGUGAAAAGCCCGCUCGCCGGAAGACCAAGGGUUCCUGUCCAACGUUAAUCGGGGCAGGGUGAGUCGACCCCUAAGGCGAGGCUGAAAAGCGUAGUCGAUGGGAAACAGGUUAAUAUUCCUGUACUUGGUGUUACUGCGAAGGGGGGACGGAGAAGGCUAGGCUAGCCGGGCGACGGUUGUCCCGGUUUAAGCGUGUAGGGGGUGUGACCUGGUAAAUCCGGUUGCAUAUCAACCCUGAGGCGUGAUGACGAUGCACUACGGUGCAGAAGUAGUUGAUGCCCUGCUUCCAGGAAAAGCCUCUAAGCUCCAGGUAACAUUGAAUCGUACCCCAAACCGACACAGGUGGUCAGGUAGAGAAUACCAAGGCGCUUGAGAGAACUCGGGUGAAGGAACUAGGCAAAAUGGUGCCGUAACUUCGGGAGAAGGCACGCUGGCAUGUAGGUGAAGUCCCUUGCGGAUGGAGCUGAAGCCAGUCGAAGAUACCAGCUGGCUGCAACUGUUUAAUAAAAACACAGCACUGUGCAAACACGAAAGUGGACGUAUACGGUGUGACGCCUGCCCGGUGCUGGAAGGUUAAUUGAUGGGGUCAGCCGCAAGGCGAAGCUCUUGAUCGAAGCCCCAGUAAACGGCGGCCGUAACUAUAACGGUCCUAAGGUAGCGAAAUUCCUUGUCGGGUAAGUUCCGACCUGCACGAAUGGCGUAAUGAUGGCCAGGCUGUCUCCACCCGAGACUCAGUGAAAUUGAACUCGCUGUGAAGAUGCAGUGUACCCGCGGCAAGACGGAAAGACCCCGUGAACCUUUACUAUAGCUUGACACUGAACAUUGAGCCUUGAUGUGUAGGAUAGGUGGGAGGCUUUGAAGCGUGGACGCCAGUCUGCGUGGAGCCAUCCUUGAAAUACCACCCUUUAAUGUUUGAUGUUCUAACUCGGCCCCAUAAUCUGGGGUGAGGACAGUGUCUGGUGGGUAGUUUGACUGGGGCGGUCUCCUCCCAAAGAGUAACGGAGGAGCACGAAGGUUAGCUAAUCACGGUCGGACAUCGUGAGGUUAGUGCAAAGGCAUAAGCUAGCUUGACUGCGAGAGUGACGGCUCGAGCAGGUACGAAAGUAGGUCUUAGUGAUCCGGUGGUUCUGAAUGGAAGGGCCAUCGCUCAACGGAUAAAAGGUACUCCGGGGAUAACAGGCUGAUACCGCCCAAGAGUUCAUAUCGACGGCGGUGUUUGGCACCUCGAUGUCGGCUCAUCACAUCCUGGGGCUGAAGUAGGUCCCAAGGGUAUGGCUGUUCGCCAUUUAAAGUGGUACGCGAGCUGGGUUUAGAACGUCGUGAGACAGUUCGGUCCCUAUCUGCCGUGGGCGUUGGAAGAUUGAGAGGGGUUGCUCCUAGUACGAGAGGACCGGAGUGAACGCACCACUGGUGUUCGGGUUGUCAUGCCAAUGGCAUUGCCCGGUAGCUAAGUGCGGAAAAGAUAAGCGCUGAAAGCAUCUAAGCGCGAAACUUGCCUCAAGAUGAGUCUUCCCUGGACCUUUAAGGUCCCUGAAGGAACGUUUAAGACUAAGACGUUGAUAGGCUGGGUGUGUAAGUGCAGCGAUGCAUUGAGCUAACCAGUACUAAUGAUCCGUGAGGCUUAACCUU